rnacentral:lncRNA from 1 species
CCGCCGCCGCCGGGCGGCCCCUCCCGGAGCGAGCGGCCGCGGGCAGGGCUCCGACCCGGCGCCUUUGUCUCGCCCGGGCCGCUCGGGCGCCGCGCCUCCUGUUCCGGGCGCGCGGGGUCGGCCGGCCGCCUUCGCUGCUCCGCCGCGGCUCUCAGCGCCGCUCAGCGCGGCGGGCCCGCCCGGGCUCAGGUGCCCCCCGCUCUCCGGACCUUCUCGCCCGGCCCCGCGUCCCCUCCGCGGGCUUCCCCCGGCGGCCGGCCGGGCUCGGAGGCUCGCGGCCGGAGCGGAGCGGAGUGCGCACGCCGGGGUGGCAGGACUUCGGCAAGACCAACUUUCCGGUUCGGAAGCGGCGCGGGCCGCGCGGCUCCUCCCCUCCUCUCCCUCCCCUGCGUUCCCCCUCCCUUCCACUCCCCCCUCUCCCCGCCCCCCAACCCGCGGGCCCCACCGACUCCGGAGCGCCCGCCCCGCCCGCUGCUGCCACCGGGCCGCCUCGCCCCCGCGCCAGCCCGCCUGGGCCUCUGCGCCGCCGGCGGCUUCUUAAAUACAGGAAAGGGAGGGGACCGCAGGGCCCCGGUGUUCCCCACCCUAGUCCCCCUUCACCACGGGCCACCGGGCGCCAGCGGAGUGGGCAGCGAGCGCGACCGAAAGUUCCAACUCCACCAAACUCCCGCGCGCGGCCCACCCUUUCCCGGGAUUUCGGGGAUGACACGGGGGCCAGUGGUCCUGUCUGGUGUGAACCGUCAGCACAGAUGGCCUCCUGGAGCUUCCCCGAGUCGUUCGCUGGGGGAAGCGGGCGGUGAGCGGCCAGCCCGGGCGCUCCGCAGGCCGCGAGCUCCCGGCAGGGCUGGUGGCGGGGGUCCGCCUGGGGGAGGAAUCCCCGCCUGCUCCAUCGGACCCGGCCUGGCGCGGCUCGCGGCGCUCGGCGGGCUCCCUUCCAUUCUAGAAUCUUCCCGCUUGCUUCCCAGCCCGCGUUCUUCCGCCUGCCUUUAAUUGUAAUUUACAGGAUUAAGGAGUUUGGGGAAGUCGCAGAGCUGCAGCGGAAAGGCAGGGGUCUGAGACUACUUUUGAGAAGAGAAACAACGCAAAACGAUCGCUGGAGGGCCAGAGCCCUGGUCGAAGGUGCCCUAGCUUUUAUGACCUGGUUAAUUGUGUCUCCUUUUUAUUUUUAUUUUUUUCCUUACCACUACUACUACUACUACUUUUAUUUUUUUUUAACCGAUACACUUUGGAGAGAAGAAGCAGACACAGGUUCCCACGGCGUCUGACGCCUGCGGAGCAAGUCCAGAGCCAGCUGGACUCGCAGCCUCUGGCCCGGCGGCACCAACUCCUCACUGGGUCAUUUUGAGCGCGCUGUGCCCACCUUUUCUGUUGCGUGUGGACGUGGGGAGGAUCUUCUAAGUCCCUCCAACGAAGGCAAGUGUGAGACUCUGGCCCUUUAUUUGUAAGAAGCAAGCCUUCAGAUUGCAGAAGUGUCGCGCGGGUCGCCGUGCGUUGCGCGAGUGGGAAGAUGGAGGAGGCCGGCACGCUGCUUUCGUGGACGCAAGUGAACCGGGCGUGAAGGCAGGGUGCGAGCUCUGCCCUUGGCCCAGCCCUGCGUGGGCGCCGUCCCAGAUUCCGGGCGGUGCGGGGUGCAGAGAUCUGGAGAGACUUGCGGGCUCCCCAGCGCAGGCUGCUCUGGGAUUUCGUUGGAAGAUCCGGCAGAGCCUUGGAGGAGAGGGCCCGGGAGGCUGUGUGUGCAGCGGAAACUUGUACGAAUGCCCCCACAGCGGAAAUGGUGCGCACGAGUAAUUUCUGCGGUGCACCCUUUUAAAAAUUGACAAGUGAACAAGAUCAAUUUUUUAAGAAAGCAAAGGUAGAAAACAAAAGGCGUGCGACUUCUUGACUGGCUUGUUCCCGCCUUUCUUCCUUCUCUAUACUCAGAUCAGAAACUUUUCUUUAAUUGCUCUUAUUCAGUGCGACAACUUUUAAUAAAAGCAUUUGCAUUUUAAGCCUGAGUUGCAACCAUAGAUUUAUUGCGAAGUGACAACGUGUCUAUGGAAUAUUUUCGCAGAUGAGACAGGACAUGCGCUCUAGUCGUGCCCAGAUUAAAGCGACGCUGGGCCAUGUGCCUGUGUAGUGCAGACUCGGAGGGGCACACACAUACUCGUCACCACAUGACCACUGUCUAUUAAUAUUGUCAUACCUAAACACUCGCAAAAACAAAAGUUGCUUUUCUUCCCUGUAAUUAAAUCUAAUUUGUUAAUUGUCUUUCCUCUUGCAAUGUUGUUUUCAUCUUGAGGUGACACAUUAUUAUUUUGUCUAAUAUUAUUUACAAAUUAAUGCUGUAUAUUUUACAUUAGUGAAACAUAUAAUUAGGUGUUUGGUUCAAUCGGUAUCAUUCAGAUAAAACAAAGCCUAUCUGCAAGAUUGAUUGGAAGUGGAGUAGUUGGUUCUAAUUUACCAUCACAGUCACAGUUUAUUGAAGCUACCUGGCCCCAGAUUCACAGAAGCUAGUUUUACCUAAGGUGCAUUUGAUGCUUUGUUUACAAGUGUUUAUUUU